rnacentral:tRNA from 1 species
GCCGCUGUGGCGGAAUUGGUAGACGCGCUAGACUCAAAAUCUAGUGGGUGCAUAGCCCGUAUCGGUUCGAGUCCGAUCAGCGGUACAA